CUUCCUAGUGCCUAAUAGUGCCUAUGAGUAGAAGCAUGGCACUGGCUUGGGCCUCAAGGCUUAGAAAACCAAGUCUGGCGACUGGCCAGUUUAUGGGACCUGGGAAAGGCCUUGGUCUUGUGGAGAACUGACUAGAAGCUAGAAGUCACCUGCAACACUACUGGAGUGGGGACAGAGUCAUGAAAGCAAAGAGUGAUAGUGCAUCCCUUUAAUCCAACAUUCAGGAAGCAGAGCAGCAGCCCAGCCCCUGCCCACUACCCCAGAGCAGAGCCCCUCCGUACGGUCAUCAGUUCGAGGUUCUGUUCGACUUGCUGGACUACUGACUCGAGGUCAUGGAAGUCUCUCUCCUCCUUGAUCAUCUUUGCCUCCAACUUCCGUUCGAGCGUCCUCACCCUCAGUAGAGGAGAAACUGAGCGUCCGCAGGUGUCUGUCCCCUAGGGAUUCUUCAUGAGCUGCAAAGUCUGCAUUCGGACUCCCAGCUGGAGAUGCUGGGGAGACCCUGGAGUCAGUGUUACUCAGUGUCCAUGGGGGCAAAGACUCGGGACCUGCCAGCUCUGAUGCGUCGGAGAAAAAGGAAAGGUUGCUGGCUCUUGUUGGGUCUUCAAAAAAUGGCUGCUGAGAUUCCAGGCCAUAUCCCAUG
rnacentral:lncRNA from 1 species